UGCAAGUCGAACGCGAAAGGGGGGCAACCCCCGAGUAGAGUGGCGCACGGGUGAGUAAUACAUCGGAACGUGUCCUGUAGCGGGGGAUAACCUAGCGAAAGCUAGGCUAAUACCGCAUACGUCCUAAGGGAGAAAGUGGGGGAUCGUAAGACCUCACACUAUAGGAGCGGCCGAUGCCGGAUUAGCUAGUUGGUGGGGUAAAGGCCUACCAAGGCGACGAUCCGUAGCUGGUCUGAGAGGAUGAUCAGCCACACUGGGACUGAGACACGGCCCAGACUCC
rnacentral:rRNA from 2 species